CAGGCCUAACACAUGCAAGUCGAACGGGUGCUUUCGGGCACUAGUGGCGCACGGGUGCGUAACGCGUGGGAACCUGCCCUUUGGUUCGGAAUAACUCAGGGAAACUUGAGCUAAUACCGGAUGAUGACUUCGGUCCAAAGAUUUAUCGCCAAGGGAUGGGCCCGCGUAGGAUUAGCUAGUUGGUGGGGUAAUGGCCUACCAAGGCGACGAUCCUUAGCUGGUCUGAGAGGAUGAUCAGCCACACUGGGACUGAGACACGGCCCAGACUCCUACGGGAGGCAGCAGUGGGGAAUAUUGGACAAUGGGCGAAAGCCUGAUCCAGCAAUGCCGCGUGAGUGAUGAAGGCCUUCGGGUUGUAAAGCUCUUUUACCCGGGAUGAUAAAGACAGUACCGGGAGAAUAAGCUCCGGCUAACUCCGUGCCAGCAGCCGCGGUAAU
rnacentral:rRNA from 1 species